rnacentral:hammerhead_ribozyme from 1 species
AUCCAGCUGACGAGUCCCAAAUAGGACGAAGUGUCACGCAUCGAACUGGAU